AACGCAAUAAGUACCCCGCUUGGGGAGUACGGCCGCAAGGUUGAAACUCAACGGAAUUGACGGGGGCCCGCACAAGCGGUGGAGUAUGUGGUGUAGUUCGUCGCAACGCGAAGAACCUUAGCAAGGCUUGACAUUGAUUGAACGCUCUAGAGAUAGAGCUUUUCCUUCGGGGACAAGAAAACAGGUGGUGCAUAGCUGUCGUCAGCUCGUGUCGUGAGAUGUUGGGUUAAGUCCCGCAACGAGCGCAACCCCUAUCCUAUGUUACCAGCAAGUAAAGUUGGGGACUCAUGGGAGACUGCCAGGGACAACCUGGAGGAAGGCGGGGAUGACGUCAAGUCAUCAUGCCCCUUAUGUCUUGGGCUACACACGUACUACAAUGGUCGGAAACAGAGGGAAGCGAAGCCGCGAGGCAGAGCAAACCCCAGAAACCCGAUCUCAGUUCGGAUAGCAGGCUGCAACCCGCCUGCGUGAAGUCGGAAUCGCUAGUAAUCGCAGGUCAGCAUACUGCGGUGAAUACGUUCCCGGGCCUUGUACUCACCGCCCGUC
rnacentral:rRNA from 1 species